UGACCGCUUCCCCGAAAACGGAAGCUGAGGCUACACGGACGGCCGGGUCAGAUGCCGA
ncrna:unclassified sequences Streptococcus sRNA SpF59 (ldcC RNA)